GUAGGGAGCAAGCGUUGUCCGGAAUCAUUGGGCGUAAAGCGCGCGUAGGCGGCCUUGUAAGUCCGUUGUGAAAGUCAAAGGCUCAACCUUUGAAAGCCGAUGGAUACUGCAAGGCUAGAGUUCGGAAGAGGCGAGUGGAAUUCCUGGUGUAGCGGUGGAAUGCGCAGAUAUCAGGAGGAACACCAAUAGCGAAGGCAGCUCGCUGGGACGAUACUGACGCUAAGGCGCGAAAGCGUGGGGAGCGAACAGGAUUAGAUACCCUGGUAGUCCACGCCGUAAACGAUGGGCACUAGGUGUGGGAGGUGUCGACUCCUCCCGUGCCGUCGCUAACGCACUAAGUGCCCCGCCUGGGGAGUACGGCCGCAAGGCUA
rnacentral:rRNA from 1 species